UCGGCAUUGUUGGUUUGCACGA
rnacentral:siRNA from 1 species